CCCGGUGCACAGGUCCAGGCUCCUGGCCCCACGGGACACACGCACCUGCUCCCAGGGGCCCGUUGGGAAGCAGCCAUGUGUCCCAUCUAACGGCAAGGAGCCUGGGGAGGACAGCAGGGUGUGGGCGCCCCCAGGAAGUCGCCUGCCGGCCUGCCCGCAUCCACAAUGACAGGAGCCAGUUCCCCAAAACGAGGAUCUCCACCCUCUACUGUCUCCCCCCCACUCCAUAUACACAUGUCCCUACAACCUAUUGGUUCUGUUUUUCUGGAACAACCCAGAGUCAUUUUCACGUGUUUGGAGCACCUGAGGUAUUCGCCGCAUCGCGUCGGCAGGAGUCGUCGGAAGGUGGAUGAGCCAGGAGCCGACUAAAAAGAGAGUCGAGGCACGUCAGCAUCACCUGUCGGGGAGAAUUGCCUUAACAUGUCUCUGCCUUCAGUUUCCCUGCCUGCCAACGGGCAGCCCUUCCUGCCUCGACUGGUCUAACGAGACGAAGGGGGGAUGUCAGCCCCACGGGGCCUGUGACCAACAGACCUUAACGGCCCUCUGUGCGGCCGCAGGACCUCACUAUGGUGGGGGCGGGCAGAGGGCAAGGAAGGGGAGCCUGGUGCUUUCCAGCCAGACUGGCUGGCACCACAAGCGCUUCUCAGUUCUGCUUUUCACCUGGAGAACCCUGCUGCUCCCCCAUAAAGCCAACCCAGAGCCUCCAGCCGGGCCUUUCCCUGCACGACUUUGCAGCCAAGCUCUUCUGCGGCUCGGAGCCAGCUGCAGGCAUUCUGGCCAGAUGGCGCGGGGGGCGGGGGGGGGGGGAUGAGCCCAUGAUGCUGCCCCGGGUCCCGCAGAUGUAACGUCCCCAUCAGAGCCUGUUAGUUAGUCAACGGAAACCAGGAUUUGAAUUAGGAUUUCUUGAUGGAAAGCCUGGCCAUGCUUGAACUCUCCAUAACCUGGCAGAGUUCACGUGUCCUCAAUGCUCCGAACAAGCCAGCAGCAGCCACGCGUCUUGGACAUGAAGCACAGAAACCAGAGGUUUACUGCCUCAGCAAUGAACUUGCUUUCCUGCUCCUGCUGCAAUGGAAGGAACUCGUCCCUGCGCGUGCGUGACCGUGACUUGCCUCGAAGACCUCGGCAUGGAGCAAGGGUGCAGGGGCAGACGUGCCCCGGAUGCAUGGCUCUCUGGCGUGGAACCCUUUUCUCGUCCCUCCCCCUGCCUCGUCUUUGUGCUUGUUUGCUUUCCCUUUCAAAUAUAUUUUCAAAGUUGUAAA